rnacentral:lncRNA from 1 species
GAAAAGAUUCUCUUCUACCCACCGAUCGCACGCCGUCGUCCGCCGGCUCCGCGGUCGUUCGAUCGUGUGUUCGUACGUCCGUCGAAGUCGCUUUCGUUUUCCUGCAACUCACGUAUUAUUUCAGGACAAACAUUUUUGAUACUAGAUAUAAGUAGAGGCGUUUCGGGGCUCGUCUAGCUGUGAGAGCGAGCGGCUGGAUUUGGAUUUUUUUUCUGCAACAUCCUCCUUGUUGCAAGAAAAAAUUCUGCAACAUUAGUUAUGUUGCAGAACACUUUCCGUAACACCAAUGUAAAGUAGAAAAAAAAUCUGCAACAGUAGUUUUGUUGCAGAAAAAUUCCAGCAACAAUAUUUGUGUUGCAAAAGUUCCGCAACACGGUCCCUGUUGCAAACAUCCGAACGCAACAUUAUGCUUGUUGCAAAAAUUGUCAGCUCAAUCUGUUGGUCAUCCCGUAUUAAAUCUUUGUAGCAGAAA